rnacentral:lncRNA from 1 species
CAGGGACUGAACUCAGCUCAUUAGGCUUGCAAAGUACUGUAAUCGCCAAUGUUGGCUGUCAACCUGAACAGCCAACAAGACAGUAAGUAGUAUUUCCUCAUGGCGUCUGCUUCGGUUCCUGCCUUGACUUCCCCCUUAACAUAUAAACCAAAUAAACCCUUUCCUCCUCAAGUUGCUUUUGGUCAUGGUGUUUGUUACAGCAGCAGAAAAGCAAACUACUAGGACAGGUGACAAGCACUUUUACCCAUUAAACAUUGUUGGUGGCUCAGGAAAUGAAUCUCAGACCACAUGGCAAAACAAUUCCAGGCAAACUGAAGAUUUAAUUGUAAAAUCUUUGCAAGAAAACAUAGGAGAGCCAGGUCCCUGCCUUUAGUCCCAGAAUGUGGGAGGCAGAGGCGCGCACCACCAACGCCUGGCUCAAUAAUCUACCUUUUAUCUUAUCAAAUCUAUAUCCUCCCUUUUUUGUUUUCAGAAUAGAUUCAAUAAUCUACCCUUUUUUUAACCUAUCAUAUCUGUAUCCUUUUUAAAAAAAAAAACAAAAACCUUGAAUCUAAUCCCCUUUGUUCAGCUUUAUUCCUGACUGUAACCAACAACAUUUUUGUAACCAAUCCCCUUAAACAAUGACAAAAAAUCCAUAACCCAAUGAUUGACCAAAAACCACCCACCCCACCUCUUGGGAAUGCAGGCAUCAUGUUCUUAAAGUUGCUUCCUGCUGUCUGGGGCGAUGGCAUCUUUAGGGGAUCCUGAAAAGAAAAAUUUGGGUUAACUGUCAAGCUGUAUCAUUUUUUUCCCGUCUCUGCAUAGAGGGAAAGUGCAGGGCUUGUCUGAAGUCCAUGCUAGAGUGGUCUAUGAGUUUGGAUCAUCUCAUUUAGCCUCCUCAAAAUCAUUCUGAGCCGUGUCUGUAAGGCUGGAUCAUCUCAGAUGACCUUCUGGAAAUUUUUCUGAGCAAUAUCUGUGAGAUUGGAUCAUUUCAGUUGGUUUCCUAGAAAUUGUUCUGAGCAGUUUAUAAUCGAAAACCAAUCUUUAGGUGGAGUUGUUCAGCUUAAUGGUGUUAUCAUAGUCCUGGUGGAAUUGCCAUCUGUGGGGUUCCAUCUUCUUCUUUUUGUUUGUUUUGUUAUUUUGUAUUUUGAGGCAGAGUUUCUCUGUGUUAGCAGUCCUGGCUGUCCUGAAACUCACUUUGUAGACCAGGUUGGCUUUAAACUCACUGAGAUCUGCCUGCCUCUGCUUCCCGAGUGCUGGGAUUAAAGGCAUCCCUGACCUAUGCCCGGCUGGGAUUCCAUCUUCUUUUUGGAGACUUCGGAGAUCUCAUUACAUCAGAUUCUUCCUUUUCUUGGUCAUUUUCUCUGGGUAGAUCUCCCUUCUUCUUUGGAUGCUGAUUUGUCCAAAGGUCUCAAAUUCUUCAAGAUGUUUGUUUUCAUGUUCCUGAAAAGACAGAAACAAAACCCUAACUUUGGGAGGUUCCUUAUCAAUUUGAUUUGUGGUUUCUCCUGAAAUUUUUGUUUUAUCUUCCAAAGCUCUUCGGUCAUCCAGAGCAGUACGUUUUCUUACAGCAGGCAUUAGGUUCUUUAAUUGCUCUGGGAAGGAGUUUCCAUGAUGACAGGAAACCACUGAGCUGGAUUUGGCAGAGUGGAGUUCCAGAGGCCCCUUAAGGCAUUUCCCAAAGGCAAAGUAUUACCUUGAAUGCCUCUUUUUGAUCUACAUUCAUUAUUAGUCCAGUGCCGGCCUUUGCCACACCUUCUGUAUAAUCUGGAGUGGACGGACGUUCCUUUUGGAUUAUCUUAGAGAGAGCAUUGUUUCUAGGAAUGCCCUAUGUACAACCCCUUUUCAAGCAAAUCUGUUUGCCACAAUUAAAACAUUUGACAUUUCUAUUUUUCUUUAAACCUCUUGAAAUCACCUCUCAUAUCAUCAUCAUGACCAUGAGCUCCAAUAUUAAUUAUAUCUCGAAUCCAAUCCUCCAAACGUGCUGACUUUUUUUUUUU